UAGGGAAUAUUGCAAAAUGGGCGAAAGCCCGAUGCAGCAACGCCGCGUGGGCGAUGAAGGCCUUCGGGUCGUAAAGCCCUUUUUGAGGGGAUGAGGAAGGACAGUACCCUCAGAAUAAGCCUCGGCUAACUACGUGCCAGCAGCCGCGGUAAAACGUAGGAGGCGAGCGUUAUCCGGAUUUACUGGGCGUAAAGCGCGUGCAGGCGGAUUGGAGAGUUGGAUGUGAAAGCUCCCGACUUAACUGGGAGAGGUCGUUCAAUACUUCCAGUCUUGAGUGCAGUAGAGGGAAGUGGAAUUCCGGGUGUAGUGGUGAAAUGCGUAGAUAUCCGGAGGAACACCAGUGGCGAAAGCGGCUUCCUGGACUGUAACUGACGCUCAGACGCGAAAGCUAGGGUAGCAAACG
rnacentral:rRNA from 1 species